UACAUUGCAAGUUCGAAGCGGUAACAGGGGAAGCUUGCUUCCCGCUGACGAGCGGCGGCACGUGGUGAGUAAUGCUUAGGAAUCUGCCCAGUAGUGGGGGAUAGCCCGGGGAAACCCGGAUUAAUACCGCAUACGUCCUACGGGAGAAAGCAGGGGAUCUUCGGACCUUGCGCUAUUGGAUGAGCCUAAGUCGGAUUAGCUAGUUGGUGGGGUAAAGGCCUACCAAGGCGACGAUCCGUAGCUGGUCUGAGAGGAUGAUCAGCCACAUCGGGACUGAGACACGGCCCGAACUCCUACGGGAGGCAGCAGUGGGGAAUAUUGGACAAUGGGGGCAACCCUGAUCCAGCCAUGCCGCGUGUGUGAAGAAGGCUUUCGGGUUGUAAAGCACUUUCAGUAGGGAGGAAAACCUUAUGGUUAAUACCCAUGAGGCUUGACGUUACCUACAGAAGAAGCACCGGCUAACUCCGUGCCAGCAGCCGCGGUAAUACGGAGGGUGCAAGCGUUAAUCGGAAUUACUGGGCGUAAAGCGCGCGUAGGUGGUUUGGUACCCGAGAUGUGUAAGCUCC
rnacentral:rRNA from 1 species